AGCCUCGUGCCGCGGCCCUCGGGGCUCGGCUGGCGACCUCGCGUGGGGAGGAGGCGCUGAGGCAGCGCAGGAGGCCGGCGGCGGGCUCCGACACCUGUGGGUCCGGGUGCCAGUGGGCACCGUCGACCAGUGUCCGGCUCUGCGGCGCCGGGUCUUCUCGGCAGUCGGGCUGCCAGCGGCAAGAGUAAGAAUUUAGUGAUUCAUCAGUUGAAGUAAUCAGCACUUGGGUGUUGUAUGCUAUCACUUCUAAACAAAGUACCAGGUAUUCCUGCCAAUUUCUUGCAAGUCUGAUCUGAUCUUGGUGUGUUUACUUCUUGGAGGACCUGAAUGAACACAGGAGAUACAUCUAGAAAGAACCUUCUCGAUUUUUAAUUCUAGAUAUGAGGUCCACAGGAUUGCUGGUGCUUCCUUUAAUGGAGAGGCAUUGUGCUCUGCGCUUCUGUUGGAAAAACCUGUAAUGUUAUCUAUUGUGUGUCAGAUACUGGAGAUAUACCAGUUAAGAAAACAGAGAAAGGAAACCCAUCCCUCUUGGAGCUUGUAUCUUGUGGUUAAGACAAACAACUUAAUUAGAGAUGAUUAUUUGACAAUAAACUAAUGUGGCUUUUUUUUUCACAGAUCCCAACCCCAAACAUGUUUCCCAAAUCGAAUCACACUCCUCUGCAGCCAUUCCACCAAUAUGGUCCCUACCUAAAGAAGGGACACAUUGUAAAGGGGAAACUCCCUGCAGAGAAGAUGAACUAAAAGGAAGCACUUUUAUGGAGAUAGGGGUAUGGAGGUGGGAAGGUGUAGUAGAAGUAUUCACAUUGGGAGAAGAGUGACCUGAGAUGCUUUGAGCUUAGUGGAAGGACAAGCCUAGGAGAAGCUCUGUGUUUGACAUGGAGAUGGAGAAGGGAGAGUGGGUAGCAGGGGAACAUCUCUGAAGGCAAGUGUCUAGGUAGAUCUUCUCAAAUAAUGCUGCUGGUUCCCAGUGGUCUGUACCUAUAAUAUAAAAGAUGCGAAGUUCACAUAUGGCCCCAGAAUAUUGUGAACACAGCAAGACCCAGACACUCCAGGGUCAUCGAGAUGAUGGCUAUCAUGGAGGUCAGUGUCCCCAGAGUUCUGGUGGUAGUGUUUGUUCGUCCCAAAUGGAUUCCAGAAGGAUAGAAACUGACAAGGAUGGAUUAGAGAUAAACAAAAUGAAACAGCUUAACUGAAGGCCAGUAGAAAAAGAGCAUGGACACCAGCUGUACCUCCAUGUCACCAGGGAAGAGUAAUAAACUUUCCCUUAUACCAGGACAUGGUGGUU